rnacentral:misc_RNA from 1 species
GAGAUCAAGAGCCUGGUCAUUGACAUAUCCUCCUUCAACCAGCCCGGGGGUGUCGAUAAUGUUCAAUGUAAAUUCUGCCCAUGAACGUGAAACCAUCACUGGUCUUGGAGUUUCUGACUGAAACGCACUGACAGCAACUGCUCUUUCCCCUAAAAUUGAGUUUACAGUUGAAGAUUUUCCAACACCACCUUUCCCCAUUACUAGGAUUGUCACUGUACUUACACUCUCCUGCUUCAAUUUUCUUAUCAAUUCAAUUAACUUUGACUGAGUGGCUGAAGGAAACUGCUGAAAUCCAACCCAUUCUCUUAUCACCUGAGAUGCCAUUGAUAGCAAUAAGAUCGGUAAAUAGCUUGUAUUUG